GACGUAGGGGGCCAGCGUUGUUCGGAAUUACUGGGUGUAAAGGGUUCGUAGGCGGUGUGGCAAGUCGGGAGUGAAAUCUCGGGGCUUAACUCCGAAACUGCAUUCGAUACUGCCGUGCUUGAGGACUGGAGAGGAGACUGGAAUUUACGGUGUAGCGGUGAAAUGCGUAGAUAUCGUAAGGAAGACCAGUGGCGAAGGCGGGUCUCUGGACAGUUCCUGACGCUGAGGCACGAAGGUCAGGGGAGCAAACGGG
rnacentral:rRNA from 1 species